rnacentral:ncRNA from 1 species
GCCAGCAGCCGCGGUAAUUCCAGCUCCAAUAGCGUAUAUUUAAGUUGUUGCAGUUAAAAAGCUCGUAGUUGGACCUUGGGCCGGGUCGGCCGGUCCGCCUCACGGCGAGCACCGACCUACUCGACCCUUCGGCCGGCAUCGCUCGCCUAGCCUUAAUUGGCCGGGUCGUGUUUUCGGCAUCGUUACUUUGAAGAAAUUAGAGUGCUCAAAG